UACGAAGGGUGCUAGCGUUGCUCGGAAUUACUGGGCGUAAAGGGCGCGUAGGCGGAUGUUUAAGUCAGAGGUGAAAGCCCAGGGCUCAACCUUGGAACUGCCUUUGAUACUGGACAUCUUGAGUAUGGGAGAGGUGAGUGGAACUCCGAGUGUAGAGGUGAAAUUCGUAGAUAUUCGGAAGAACACCAGUGGCGAAGGCGACUCACUGGCCCAUUACUGACGCUGAGGCGCGAAAGCGUGGGGAGCAAACAGG
rnacentral:rRNA from 1 species